rnacentral:rRNA from 1 species
GACGUAGGGUCCGAGCGUUGUCCGGAGUUACUGGGCGUAAAGGGCGUGCAGGUGGUCUGUUAAGUCUGGCGUGAAAGCUCCUGGCUAAACCGGGAGAGGUCGUUGGAUACUGGCGGACUAGAGGACGGUAGAGGCGUGUGGAAUUCCGGGUGUAGUGGUGAAAUGCGUAGAGAUCCGGAGGAACACCAGUGGCGAAGGCGACACGCUGGGCCGUACCUGACACUGAUACGCGACAGCAUGGGGAGCGAACGGG